GGUUCGUUAGCUUAGUUGGAUAAAGCGCCACCCUGUCACGGUGGAGAUCAUGGGUUCAAGUCCCGUACGAAUCGCAA
rnacentral:tRNA from 1 species